GCGGCCUAGUGGUUAGAGCGUCCGCCUCAGAUGCGGGAGGUUGAGGGUUCUAUCCCCUGUCGAGACAUA